rnacentral:sRNA from 5 species
AUAUCUCUCUGUACGGGAAGGAUGAGAAGCUUCGACUAAGGUUCGAUUCGAGCGUCAGCGAGAAAGCGUUGCCGCAGGCAACGACCCGAAG